rnacentral:lncRNA from 10 species
CCGAACCCGGCUGCUCCCCCGAGGUCGCGGGCGCCGGCGGGAACCGCAGUAGCGGGAGACAUAGCCGGCCCAGCCGGGCACCGCUCCUUGCCCUCGCCGGAGACUGCCCAGCGCCCUGCGCCUCUCCGCCCCGGCCUGCGGCGCGCUGGGUGGCGACGAGUCGGCCUCGGCGUUGAUCAGCACCAGGUGUGUGCGAACAGUGGCCGCGGCGGGGUGGAGCCUUGUAUACCUGAUGCCCUCCCUCCUGACCUGUGAUUGGGAUUGAGCUGAAGAUAGUCACUGACAUGAUUCAAAGGAUUAGCACUUGGUACAGGAUGAACCGUUGUCCACAUUCUGUUUUCUGAGUCAAAGAGGAGGAAGAUCUGUCCAUCGAAACUGAGCUGCCAAGAUCCACUGCCGUGUCCUUCGGCUUUCUGCUCACAAGACAUCCUGGCCUGCAGGGUGAGGGGUUCUGCCCCCAUCAAAGAGAGAUCAGCUCUGGCCUUGACAGAUAUUGAGCCCCCAUCCUCUUCCACUUGCAAUUUCCUGGUCUUACUUGCUCUGCCACAUCCUGGCCUUGCCUCUAGACGUCUUGCGGGGUGAGAUGACCUUCCUAUUUGUAUUUUUACAUGAAAACUAUAAAUGCCUCUAACCUACCACUGUAUCUGCUCCCUGCUGUCCUGGGCCAUCUGAAACUUACCCUUGGGUAUGUAAUUCUCCAGCUGAAUGUCAAGCAGUUGCUCUGUAAGUAUGUCCACCACCUCUCUCAGUACUGGGUUCUGUGCUUUCCAG